GCCUGGGUGGCUUGGUCAGAUAAGCGCCUGACUUCGGCUCAGGUGAUGAUCUCACGGUCCGUGAGUUCGAGCCCCACGUCGGGCU
rfam:Felis catus isolate Cinnamon breed Abyssinian chromosome B1, whole genome shotgun sequence.